rnacentral:rRNA from 1 species
GACGAACGCUGGCGGCGUGCUUAACACAUGCAAGUCGAACGGAAAGGCCCUGCUCUUGUGGGGUGCUCGAUUGGCGAACGGGUAAGUAACACGUGAGUAACCUGCCCUUGUCUUUGGGAUAAAUUCUGGAAACUGGGGCUAAUACCGGAUAGGAGCUCUUGAUGCACGGUGGGGGUUGGAAAGUUUCGGCGGUUGGGGAUGGACUCGCGGCUUAUCAGCUUGUUGGUGGGGUAGUGGCUUACCAAGGCUUUGACGGGUAGCCGGCCUGAGAGGGUGACCGGCCACAUUGGGACUGAGAUACGGCCCAGACUCCUACGGGAGGCAGCAGUGGGGAAUAUUGCACAAUGGGCGGAAGCCUGUUGCGGCGACGCCGCGUGCGGGAUGACGGCCUUCGGGUUGUAAACCGCUUUCGCCUGUGACGAAGCGUGAGUGACGGUAAUGGGUAAAGAAGCACCGGCUAACUACGUG